GUCCUUUGUGUGGCUCCUUGU
rnacentral:miRNA from 1 species